AAAAAUCCAGCAGGGAGAGUUGUGGGGAUCCCAACAACUGAUAAUGCUGAGGAUGAUGAGACCGAAGAAGAGCCAGAAAGCGAGAGUUUGGAUGGGUUUAUUGUUGAUGAUGAUGAUGAUGAUGAUGAUGAUGAUGAUGAUGGUGAUGAUGAUGGUGAUGAUGAUGGUGAUGAUGAUGAUGGUGAUGAUGAUGGUGAUGAUGAUGAUACUCAAGAGACUGUCAGUGAACACUCAGAUGAAACCAAGGAAGAAGAAUCUGAUGGAGGAGCCGGUUAUGCUGAAGUCAUGUCAAGGUUGAGGAG
rnacentral:lncRNA from 1 species